AUUAUAGUAGGAGACUGGUGCCCUAACUAGGUUGCCCUGUGUUAAGGGGUCACCAGGCCCCCCCUCAGAAGUUCUAAGAAAUAUUUU